rnacentral:rRNA from 1 species
GCAGGCGGUUUUCUAAGUCUGAUGUGAAAGCCUUCGGCUUAACCGGAGAAGUGCAUCGGAAACUGGAUAACUUGAGUGCAGAAGAGGGUAGUGGAACUCCAUGUGUAGCGGUGGAAUGCGUAGAUAUAUGGAAGAACACCAGUGGCGAAGGCGGCUACCUGGUCUGCAACUGACGCUGAGACUCGAAAGCAUGGGUAGCGAACAGGAUUAGAUACCCUGGUAGUCCAUGCCGUAAACGAUGAGUGCUAGGUGUUGGAGGGUUUCCGCCCUUCAGUGCCGGAGCUAACGCAUUAAGCACUCCGCCUGGGGAGUACGACCGCAAGGUUGAAACUCAAAGGAAUUGACGGGGGCCCGCACAAGCGGUGGAGCAUGUGGUUUAAUUCGAAGCUACGCGAAGAACCUUACCAGGUCUUGACAUCUUGCGCCAACCCUAGAGAUAGGGCGUUUCCUUCGGGAACGCAAUGACAGGUGGUGCAUGGUCGUCGUCAGCUCGUGUCGUGAGAUGUUGGGUUAAGUCCCGCAACGAGCGCAACCCUUGUUACUAGUUGCCAGCAUUAAGUUGGGCACUCUAGUGAGACUGCCGGUGACAAACCGGAGGAAGGUGGGGACGACGUCAGAUCAUCAUGCCCCUUAUGACCUGGGCUACACACGUGCUACAAUGGACGGUACAACGAGUCGCGAACUCGCGAGGGCAAGCAAAUCUCUUAAAACCGUUCUCAGUUCGGACUGCAGGCUGCAACUCGCCUGCACGAAGUCGGAAUCGCUAGUAAUCGCGGAUCAGCAUGCCGCGGUGAAUACGUUCCCGGGCCUUGUACACACCGCCCGUCACACCAUGAGAGUUUGUAACACCCAAAGUCGGUGGGGUAACCUUUAGGAGCCAGCC